rnacentral:rRNA from 1 species
UGGGGAAUAUUGCACAAUGGGCGCAAGCCUGAUGCAGCCAUGCCGCGUGUGUGAAGAAGGCCUUCGGGUUGUAAAGCACUUUCAGCGGGGAGGAAGGCGAUAAGGUUAAUAACCUUGUCGAUUGACGUUACCCGCAGAAGAAGCACCGGCUAACUCCGUGCCAGCAGCCGCGGUAAUACGGAGGGUGCAAGCGUUAAUCGGAAUUACUGGGCGUAAAGCGCACGCAGGCGGUCUGUCAAGUCGGAUGUGAAAUCCCCGGGCUUAACCUGGGAACUGCAUUCGAAACUGGCAGGCUAGAGUCUUGUAGAGGGGGGUAGAAUUCCAGGUGUAGCGGUGAAAUGCGUAGAGAUCUGGAGGAAUACCGGUGGCGAAGGAGGCCCCCUGGACAAAGACUGACGCUCAGGUGCGAAAGCGUGGGGAGCAAACAGG